rnacentral:rRNA from 1 species
AUGGUUAUAAUAGGAGGAGAUGCGGAUGGCAAUGAAGAAGAUCAUUCUGGAACUCAGUCGCUUCGCCGGAGGUCGAAGCGUCCUGCUAAUCGCCAGCCACGACCUGCGCGGAGUGUUGAGCAGGGAGAGGAUGUUGAGGAUGCUAAGCAGUUCCGUGUUGUAAAGCGGCCUAGACGUGCAGUAGUUGGAAAGGGAGUUGAGUCAUCUUCUAGGGCAGCAGUUGCUGGAAGAGCUGUCUCAUCUUUCACAACAGAUGCUGAGGCUAGCGGUCAAGGAGUUGAGGUGGCUGCAGGGGAAGAUGUGGAGCGACCAUCACAAGCGGGCAGGAUAAGGGCAUCACCAGCGCGGUUUGCAAAUUUCAACGCCUCUCUAACCCCACCACAGAAGUUAGAGCUAGUUUCGAGGUUGUUCGGGGGGCUAUUGAACUUGUCAGACACACUUCCAGCGGACCUCACUAAGUUCCUGGUGCAGUCCUACCAGCCACAGACCUCUGAAAUGGUUUUCCCAGGAAGGGGAAGGAUCCGUGUCGAUGCUGACAGUGUUCAAAGGAUCAGUACAUGGACCAAGAUGAUUAAGGAUAUGGGCGAAAGAACGGAUGACACAUUCUUUAUGGCCUGGCUUGCGGUUGCCUUCAACACUUUCUUAGCACCAACCACGGCCUUGAAGCUCAGCCCAAAGUGCUACGGACUCGUGCUAGAUCAUGAAAACCUCAAGAACACAAGCAUCUGCCUUUUUGUAGCAGAACACAUUAACGAAGCUUUCCAGAACAUGGACCAGGAGAAGCAAACUAUCUUCUGCUGCUUGUAUCACUUGAUGAUACUAUACGUUGAUGCGCUUGUCCAUGACAUCCCAGUAAGCACAUGCGCGAUACGAUCGAAUGCAUGGGAUAGUAUUGUAAUUGCCAAGGUGAUCAAGAAGGAUACCAUCUCUCCUGGCGUGUUCGGCAAAUUACAACUUAAAGAGGAGUAUAGAGGCACGGAGCAGACACCACUGUUUGGUGGAAUUUUGCAAGCUGAAGCAUUCGUGGCAUCCAAGUUACCAAUAACCUACAAUCCGCAGAAAAAGGCAAAGAUUGCGAAAGUGCAGCCAUCAAUGCAAACCGGGGCGUCACGUCGUGCUCCAAAAAGAAAGAGACGGGGGUCAACUAUACAAGAAGAAGAAGAGUUUGUUGAGGAUGAGUCAGAAGAAGAUGAGAAAAUGGAAGCAGCGAUAGAUGUUGACGAUGACGGGGACACAGACGCGGAUGAAUCAGAUGAGGAAGACAAGGAUGAGGAUGACAAUGAAGAAGAUGCAGAGGAGGAGGAGGAGGAGGAGGAGUAA